UUUUUAUCAAGAGUUUGAUCCUGGCUCAGGAUGAACGCUGGCGGCGUGCCUAACACAUGCAAGUCGAGCGGGAAGCUCACAAAUGAUUCUUCGGAUGAAUGCGUGAGUGGACAGCGGCGGACGGGUGAGUAACGCGUGGGCAACCUGCCCCUUACUGAAGGAUAGCCGAGGGAAACUUCGAGUAAUACUUCAUAAUGCAUUUU
rnacentral:rRNA from 1 species